GCAAUCAAUUGUCUUUUAAAUGGAGACCUGUAUGAAUGGCAUAACGAGGGUUCAACUGUCUCUUUUUUCCGGUCAAUGAAACUGAUCUGCCCGUGCAGAAGCGGGCAUAUUUACACAAGACGAGAAGACCCUAUGGAGCUUUAGACACCAACCAACCACGAAAAGCGACCCUGAUUGGAGCCCCAAACAACGUGAUUCUGGCAUAAGUGUCUUCGGUUGGGGCGACCACGGGAGAUAGCACAGCUCCCGAGUGGAUGGGGGACACCCUAAAACCCAGAGCCACAGCUCUAAGUCACAAAACAUUUGACCAAUAAUGAUCCGGCUUAAUGCCGACCAACGGACCAAGUUACCCUAG
rnacentral:rRNA from 1 species